AUGCCUGACCUUCGCCUGCUUAAGCCCAAAUGCAUCCUGCACCACCAGGUUCAAGGUGUCCAGUCAGAAGUCCAGGUGACGGAAUAUAGAGGUGUAAAAAGGCCUGGGGAGUCCCUCCACCUGACCUGCCAAGGCUCUGGGUUCACCUUCAGCAGCUAUGUAAUGAACUGGGUGAGACAAGCUCCUGGAAAAGGCUUGGAAUGGGUUGCAUUAGUUAGUGAAACUGCAGUUACCAUUUGGUACACAGAGGCAGUGAGAGGGCGCUUCACCAUCUCCAGGGAUAAUGCAAACAGCCAGCUUUAUUUGCAAAUGAACAGCCUGAAAGCCGAGGACACUGCUGUGUCUUACUGUGCAAGACACACAGUGAGAGGAAGUGAUUCUGAAGCCCUGCAAAAAAACUCUUUCCAGUCUUGA